rnacentral:rRNA from 1 species
CUUGAGCGAUACCCUGCUUCCAAGAAAAGCCACUAAGCUUCAGCUACACACGACCGUACCGCAAACCGACACUGGUGCGCGAGAUGAGUAUUCUAAGGCGCUUGAGAGAACUCUGGAGAAGGAACUCGGCAAAUUGACACCGUAACUUCGGAAGAAGGUGUGCCUUUAGUAGGUGAACCCGUACAGGGGGAGCCCAAUGAGGCCGCAGAGAAUCGGUGGCUGCAACUGUUUAUUAAAAACACAGCACUCUGCAAAGACGAAAGUCGACGUAUAGGGUGUGACUCCUGCCCGGUGCUGGAAGAUUAAAUGAUGGGGUGCAAGCUCUUGAUUGAAGUCCCAGUAAACGGCGGCCGUAACCAUAACGGUCCUAAGGUAGCGAAAUUCCUUGUCGGGUAAGUUCCGACCUGCACGAAUGGAGUAAUGAUGGCCACACUGUCUCCUCCAGAGACUCAGCGAAGUUGAAAUGUUUGUGAUGAUGCAAUCUCCCCGCGGAAAGACGGAAAGACCCCAUGAACCUUUACUGUAGCUUUACAUUGGACUUUGAACAGAUCUGUGUAGGAUAGGUGGGAGGCUUUGAAGCGGUGCCGCUAGGUAUCGUGGAGCCAACGUUGAAAUACCACCCUGGUGUGUUUGAGGUUCUAACCUUGGCCCGUUAUCCGGGUUGGGGACAGUGUAUGGUGGGCAGUUUGACUGGGGCGGUCUCCUCCCAAAGUGUAACGGAGGAGUUCGAAGGUACGCUAGGCACGGUCGGAAAUCGUGCUGAUAGUGCAUAGGCAUAAGCGUGCUUGACUGCGAGACUGACAAGUCGAGCAGGUACGAAAGUAGGACUAAGUGAUCCGGUGGUUCUGUAUGGAAGGGCCAUCGCUCAACGGAUAAAAGGUACUCUGGGGAUAACAGGCUGAUACCGCCCAAGAGUUCAUAUCGACGGCGGUGUUUGGCACCUCGAUGUCGGCUCAUCUCAUCCUGGGGCUGUAGCCGGUCCCAAGGGUAUGGCUGUUCGCCAUUUAAAGAGGUACGUGAGCUGGGUUUAAAACGUCGUGAGACAGUUUGGUCCCUAUCUUCCGUGGGCGCUGCAAGAUUGAGAGAGCCUGCUCCUAGUACGAGAGGACCGGAGUGGACGCACCUCUGGUGUAUCGGUUGUCACGCCAGUGGCAUUGCCGAGUAGCUAAGUGCGGAAGAGAUAACCGCUGAAAGCAUCUAAGCGGGAAACUCGUCUCAAGAUGAGUCUUGCCGGGGCCUUGAGCCCCCUGAAGAGUCGUUCGAGACCAGGACGUUGAUAGGUCGGGUGUGGAAGCGCAGUAAUGCGUUAAGCUAACCGAUACUAAUUGCUCGUGAGGCUUGACCCC